rnacentral:sRNA from 12 species
UAGAGAAGGAAACAAAAUGAGCAAAGCUCAUUUUAUAGAAUGUUUCUGACACUUGCCGCUGACCGAAGGGAGGGGGCGUUUCAUAUU